GACGAACGCUGGCGGCGUGCUUAACACAUGCAAGUCGAACGGUGAAGUGCCUUCCUUUUCGGUGGGUGUGGAUGAGUGGCGAACGGGUGAGUAACACGUGAGAAACCUGCCCCAUUCUUCUGGAUAACCGCAUGAAAGAGUGGCAAAUACGGGAUAUUCUGGGUCUGUCGCAUGAUGGGCCUGGGAACGAUAUUGUUUCGGUGGGGGAUGGGCUCGCGGCCUAUCAGCUUGUUGGAGGGGUGAUUGACUACAAAGGCGGUGACGGGUAGCCGGGCUGGGAGGGUGGACGAUCACACUGGGACUGAGACGCGGCCCAGACUCCUACGGGAGGCAGCAGGGGGUAAUAGUGCACAGUGGGCGCAAGGCUGAUGCAGCGACGCCGCGGUAGAGAUGGAGUCCGUCUGGUUGUGAACCUCUUUCGCGAGUGAAGCAGGCCUGCCUCGUUUGUGGGUGGGUUGACGGUAGCUGGAUAUGAAGCGCCGGCUAACUACGUG
rnacentral:rRNA from 1 species